CUGGGGCUGUUAAUCAGUUGGUAAAACUCUUGCCUUAGCACGCUCACAGCCCUGUCCACUCAAAGCACCAUGGAAACCUGGCUCCGUGGUACAUGCCUGCAAUCACGGCACUGGUGGAGGUAGGACUACCAGAGGUCAAGAUCAUCCUCAAUUAUCAAGCUCAAAGCUAGCCCUGACUAUAUAGUAAGUUAGAGGUUAACGUUGGACAUGUUGAGG
rnacentral:lncRNA from 1 species